rnacentral:lncRNA from 1 species
UCCUCUCUCGGUCGCGCCAGCUGAAGGCCCCGAGCCAGGAAGGAAAAGAAGGAAGCUGGUGAAGGCCUUUCCUUCAUCUGCUGCUGCUGCUGCUCCUGCUCCCUCAACCGAAGAGGAGAGCUCUGGCUCUCCUCUCAUACACCGCAAGAGGACACUUCCAGCGGUUGGGGGGGCUUCAUCUCUUCAGCCUGGGGAGAUUGAGGUAGUGGAG